rnacentral:rRNA from 1 species
GCUUAGAGUUUGAUCCUGGCUCAGAUUGAACGCUGGCGGCAUGGCUAAAACAUGCAAGUCGAACGACCCCCUCGGGGGGAGUGGCGAAAGGGCGAGUAACGCGAUCGAACGUAUCCCAAGGUGGGGGAUAGCGUCGGGAAACCGGCGGUAAUACCCCAUGUGCUCUCCGGAGGAAAGGCUUGCCGCCUCGGGAGCGGCGAUCGUCCUAUCAGCUUGUUGGUGAGGUAAAGGCUCACCAAGGCGAAGACGGGUAGCGGGUGUGAGAGCAUGACCCGCCGCAUCGGGACUGAGACACUGCCCGGACUCCUACGGGAGGCUGCAGUAACGAAUCUUCCGCAAUGGGCGAAAGCCUGACGGAGCAAUGCCGCGUGUGGGAUGAAUCUUCUCCGAAGUGUAAACCACUGUCAGGGUCUCGCAACACUGAGCAGACCCAGAGGAAGGACCGGCUAAUUCCGUGCCAGCAGCCGCGGUAAUACGGAAGGUCCGAGCGUUAAUCGGAAUCACUGGGCUUAAAGCGUGCGCAGGCGGAUCGGCAGGCAUCUCGUGAAAUCCCACGGCUCAACCGUGGAACUGCGGGGUGAACCGCCGGUCUUGAGGCAGGUAGGGGUCAACGGAACUAUGGGUGGAGCGGUGAAAUGCGUAGAUAUCCAUGGGAACGCCAAUGGCGAAGGCAGUUGACUGGGCCUGUCCUGACGCUCAGGCACGAAAGCGUGGGGAGCGAACGGGAUUAGAUACCCCGGUAGUCCACGCCGUAACGAUGCGCACUAGGUCGAGGGAGCUCUCACGCUUUCUCGGCCGAAGGAAAACCGUUAAGUGCGCCGCCUGGGGAGUACGGUCGCAAGGCUAAAACUCAAAAGGAAUUGACGGGGGGCUCACACA